GNGGGUAUAGCUCAGGUGUAGAGGGUUCGUUUUCCAUGCGAGUAGUCUAGGAUUCGAUUUCCCAUACCACCA
rnacentral:tRNA from 1 species